rnacentral:rRNA from 1 species
CUCUUCCAGGAAAAGCCACUAAGCUUCAGUCUAGAGUUGACCGUACCGCAAACCGACACAGGUGGGCAGGAUGAAAAUUCUAAGGCGCUUGAGAGAACUCAGGAGAAGGAACUCGGCAAAUUAACACCGUAACUUCGGGAGAAGGUGUGCCCCGGUAGCGUGUAGAGACUUGCUCUCGAAGCGCGAUGGGGUUGCAGUGAAAUGGUGGCUGCGACUGUUUAAUAAAAACACAGCACUCUGCAAACACGAAAGUGGACGUAUAGGGUGUGACGCCUGCCCGGUGCCGGAAGGUUAAGUGAUGGGGUGCAAGCUCUUGAUCGAAGCCCCGGUAAACGGCGGCCGUAACAAUAACGGUCCUAAGGUAGCGAAAUUCCUUGUCGGGUAAGUUCCGACCUGCACGAAUGGCGUAACGAUGGCCACACUGUCUCCUCCUGGGACUCAGCGAAGUUGAAAUGUUUGUGAAGAUGCAAUCUACCCGCGGCUAGACGGAAAGACCCCAUGAACCUUUACUGUAGCUUUGCAUUGGACUUUGAACCGGUUUGUGUAGGAUAGGUGGGAGACUGUGAAGCCGGGACGCUAGUUUCGGUGGAGUCAACCUUGAAAUACCACCCUGAUUUGUUUGAGGUUCUAACCUUGGUCCGUGAAUCCGGAUCGGGGACCGUGCAUGGUUGGCAGUUUGACUGGGGCGGUCUCCUCCCAAAAGGUAACGGAGGAGUACGAAGGUACGCUUAGGGCGGUUGGACAUCGCCCACAAAGUGCAAUGGCAAAAGCGUGCUUGACUGCGAGACCCACAAGUCGAGCAGGUACGAAAGUAGGUCAUAGUGAUCCGGUGGUUCUGUAUGGAAGGGCCAUCGCUCAACGGAUAAAAGGUACUCUGGGGAUAACAGGCUAAUUCCUCCCAAGAGUUCAUAUCGACGACGGAGUUUGGCACCUCGAUGUCGGCUCAUCACAUCCUGGGGCUGUAGUCGGUCCCAAGGGCAUGGCUGUUCGCCAUUUAAAGUGGUACGCGAGCUGGGUUUAAAACGUCGUGAGACAGUUUGGUCCCUAUCUGCCGUGGGCGCUGGAAAUUUGAAGGGGGCUGCUCCUAGUACGAGAGGACCGGAGUGGACGAACCUCUGGUGUACCGGUUAUGACGCCAGUCGUAUCGCCGGGUAGCUAAGUUCGGAAGAGAUAAACGCUGAAAGCAUCUAAGCGUGAAACUCGCCUUAAGAUAAGAUUUCCCGGAGUCUUGAACUCCCUGAAGGGUCGUCGAAGACCACGACGUUGAUAGGUCAGGUGUGGAAGCGCAGCAAUGCGUUAAGCUAACUGAUACUAAUUGCCCGUGCGGCUUGAUCC